CAGGGGGAGGAAAUCCUGAGAGAGCCAUCAGCCAUCCAUGGUGACAACAGAGUGUGGGGACCAACAGAGCAGUGUGUGUGGAGAACACUGUGGCUUCUACCAGGGCUGCCUGGAGAGAGAGAGGGUGAAGCUGAGGUCCAGGCAGCCAGAACUGCACAGGCUGGUGCAGGGGAGACAAGCCUCUGGGGACAAGAGGCUGGCACAGGCAUGGCCACCAACAGGGGACAGGGAGGCUGGGACAGGCUUGGCCCACCAAGAUCUUAUCUGGAGUUUGAGCCCAGAGGUGUGUGAGAACAGCAGCUCUUGUGGGAGUCAGAAUGGAGAGGCAGGAACGGCCACCACGGCGGGCGAUUGUUGAACCAAGAUUGAGGUAGAUCUGUCGUCUGAGGGCUGAGACAUCCUCGGGAAUUUCACCAAGGGCAGGACAUUACUGCUUUGGCUCUAAGUGGCCUCCCUUACCACUUGAAGCUUGGGUCCAAGAAGGAUAAGGAUCCUUCAGCAAACAUCUCUGACGCCGUCUUCUCCCAGGACGGAAUGAUAGCCAUCUUGCAUUGACAUCCCAGGAUACCCAGAGGUCAGAACACAGAGCAACCAACGCUCUGAGACCCCAGUCCAUUCCUGCAGUACAGCUGUGAGUCACUUCACAAGGUACUUCCGUGUGGGCAGCUUAACCUUUGGUGGCCACGCUGCCUGAGCAGCCCUGCCAGGCAGGUUUGUGGUCCCCGAGUCCUGGGAGGCCAACCAAGCCGAGCAGCGAGAAGCAGAAACUGCAUCGCAAAUCCAGUGGCUGGAUCUCCACUCAAAAGUCAGGAGCAUAUCGACGUGGUUUCUGAUGGAGACGAUAGAUCACUAGCCCUAGACGCCCCUGGCCUUGCCUGCUCCUUGGACACUGGCCCCGCACAGUGCCUGCCUGGACCCUAGAGAAGGAUCUGGUCCCUUCAUCACUAUCUUCCCUGGUUCUCUUUUUCCUUCAGAUUCAGGAGCAA
rnacentral:lncRNA from 1 species